UGCAUGAAGUGCAUCCGACCGUUAACUAAACAAAAUCCCUAAAAUAAACGAGACUAACAAUUUUAAGCAAAAAGAAGUCGGGUUCCCUUUCAGAGCGGAUGCAAGAUGGCCGGAUGGCCGAGCGAUCAAGGUGAUAGACUACAGUUCUGGAGGACACGGAAUCGAAUCCGGAUGGAUUGAAAAAAUCCCCUGGAAUUUUUCAGAAUAUAUUGAGGGGACGAGGGCCUCAAAAUAAAGAUUCGUAAUACACUUGCACCAAUUGAACUUCGUUGGACUUUAAUUUAUCUAGUGCUUCCAAGAAUGCGUUUCUAGUAUCGGCAUCUACCGUUUCCCAAUCUUCUCCCACGUACUUGUAAGGAACACAAAAGGGAACAAGAUCCAGGAGUUAGACCUAGGAGAUGAAAGAGAAAUGACUUCGAGAAACACGGUAGAGGCAGAAUGUUACCUAAACCAUAAAAUCCAGAAGAUGUCAUUCAUAAAAUUGCAUUUUAUCAACAGAUGUUUUUACCUCUUCAGCUAUAAAGUGAGUAAAAUUAAUCAGACAGCUUCAUGUAGGCUCUAUGCAUUUCUACUUUCAAAACUAUGUAAAAUUGUGAAAAUUUAAAAGGACUAAGUUUUAAAAUAAAAAAUUAUUAUAAAUUUUAUUAAUUAUUUUGCGUAUACAGACAAACCUCCAAACAAUGGUCAUUGUUCGAAGGUGGUCGUUGUUUGAAGGUUACUUUACGUUUUAAAAAGAAACGUCCUUUUAAAAUUGACCGCCGUUUAGAGGCGGGUUAUUGGAAGUUCGACUGCAUAGACUUUGAAAUUUAAACGAGUUAAUAUCUUGAAAUAUAUAAUUUAUUUUAUUAUACAAUAUUAAACAAGAGUAAAAUUCAAAAUUUAAAAAUAUUCUUCUCUUUCUUUUCAACUUUUUAAAUUCGAAUUUAUUGUUGUGUAUAAAAGUUACUUGUUUCAAAAUUCAAUACUUAAAGAUUAUUUUUAUGCAAUUAUUGUACGAAAUUUUAUAAAUUCAUGCAAUUUAUUGUAUAAUAAAUUGUUUUAGUAACAGCUGUGUUUAUUUCACAUGUUGCUAUGAAAUUCUUUAAAGCACAGCUGAAGAGAUUUAUUCGGUAAUUAAUAUUUUUCUUUCAGGCCUAUUGUCUUCAUUCUUCGAUUGAAAUUUAAAAUUUAUUUUAAUAACUUUCGCUUCGAGAAUUUAAUUUUUAAAAUAUAAAAUUAAUUAUAUAAUAUUAAAGUUUAUCGACAGAGAAAGCUGAAAUUCUUUGUUGUGUUCCGCGUGUUUGACUUGCUAAAUUUAAAAAUUAAUUAUUUUAAUUAAAAGUUGCUCGCUUUUAUGUUAAUUUAUAAAAGAAAGCGAUUUAAUAGAAAAUUUUAAUUUUAUUAACGAGCAAUAAAAACUACAUAUUUUCAUUAUAAAACUUUUUUCAUUAAUGAUAAUUUAUUAUAAGGUUAUUAAACGGAAGCAAUUUAAG